UCGGAUUUUUGAACUUGGAGUAUGGUGCUGAAGCUUGCUCCACCCUUGCUCACGGGUUGUCCUGGUAUUGCAGUACCUCCAGGUUCGGCUCACGUUUC
rnacentral:snRNA from 1 species